UACGUAGGGGGCGAGCGUUAUCCGGAUUCACUGGGUGUAAAGGGAGCGUAGACGGCCAUGCAAGCCAGGGGUGAAAGCCCGGGGCCCAACCCCGGGACUGCCCUUGGAACUGCAUGGCUGGAGUGCGGGAGGGGCAGGCGGAAUUCCUGGUGUAGCGGUGAAAUGCGUAGAUAUCAGGAGGAACACCGGCGGCGGAGGCGGCCUGCUGGACCGCGACUGACGUUGAGGCUCGAAAGCGUGGGGAGCGAACAGG
rnacentral:rRNA from 1 species